rnacentral:rRNA from 1 species
GACAGAGGGUGCAAACGUUGUUCGGAAUUACUGGGCGUAAAGCGCGUGUAGGCGGCUUUCUAAGUCGGGGGUGAAAUCCUGGAGCUCAACUCCAGAACUGCCUUCGAUACUGGAAAGCUCGAGUCCGGGAGAGGUGAGUGGAACUGCGAGUGUAGAGGUGAAAUUCGUAGAUAUUCGCAAGAACACCAGUGGCGAAGGCGGCCGACUGGUCCGGUUCUGACGCUGAGGCGCGAAAGCGUGGGGAGCAAACCGG